UUGGAGGGCAAGUCUGGUGCCAGCAGCCGCGGUAAUUCCAGCUCCAAUAGCGUAUAUUAAAGUUGUUGCAGUUAAAAAGCUCGUAGUUGAAUUUCGGGGUCAAUAGGUUGGUCGUGCCAAUGGUAUGUACUGGCUUUAUUGAUUCCUACCUCUUGACGAACUGUGAUGCCAUUAAUUUGGUGUUGCAGGAAAUCAGGACUGUUACCUUGAAAAAAUUAGAGUGUUUAAAGCAGGCUUACGCUUGAAUACAUUAGCAUGGAAUAAUGAAAUAGGACGUUUGAACCUAUUUUGUUGGUUUCUAGGAUCGACGUAAUGAUUAAUAGGGAUAGUUGGGGGCAUUAGUAUUCAAUUGUCAGAGGUGAAAUUCUUGGACUUAUUGAAGACUAACUACUGCGAAAGCAUUUGCCAAGGAUGUUUUCAUUAAUCAAGAACGAAAGUUAGGGGAUCGAAGACGAUCAGAUACCGUCGUAGUCUUAACCAUAAACUAUGCCGACUAGGGAUCGGAUGAUGUUAAUUUUUUGAUGACUCAUUCGGCGCCUUACGGGAAACCAAAGUGUUUGGGUUC
rnacentral:rRNA from 1 species